AAUAAACCAAUUUUUUACUUUUUACAUAUAAUUUUUAACUCUUCGUUUUAUUAAAAAAAUUUUGUAAUUAAUGUUUUUGUUUUUAUUAGAUGAUAAAUCAUAAAUAGUACUUUAUGUGUGACUAAUUUUUUUCUAAUUUUUUUUAAAAAAUUUAAAUAAGACGGAUGGUCAAACGUUGGACACAGAAACCGGAGAAUUGAAU
rnacentral:pre_miRNA from 1 species